CUUCAAUAUCAUAUUAUGCAUCUCUUGGCUCAUUUCAAAAUUACUUGAAAAUGUCAUUUCGGUAUAAUUUUGUCAAAACUUCCACUCUGAAGGUUUUAUAUUGAAAGAAAGCAAUAUCAAUUUUAAACAGUUUUAUAGCUAAUGAUAAAACAUGAAACUAUGGUUUUAAAAUACCUAAUAAUAUGAAUUGAUAUAAAAAAGAAAAAAGUUUUAAAAGCUAUCUUUUUUUUUAACUUUUUGUUUCAAGAAAUCAUUCACAGGAUGCUCUACUAAAUUCAUCUAGUGCGUAAUCUUUAAAACUUGAAACGCUGGAAAAGUCAUUUAUAUUUCAACAUUGGACUUUAUUAAUGAUAAUAUUUUUCAUUGGCAUGUAUUGCUUACAUUAUGGGAAAGACACUAUGAUAUAUGCAAGUUCGAAGGCAAUUUGAAAACAGUUAUACCCUGUUUAUUGUGAAUUUGUGUCUGAGUUGGAUUGAUGCAUUUGCGUUUUACUAUUUUAUUGAAACAUUUUGUUGGCAAAUAAAAUAUCUAACAUCGAAGUGCUUCAAUUCAUAUUAAUAAGCAAACAAUGGAAACACACACGAUUCAAAUAGACAGUGUACAUAAAAUACAGAACAAUGAAUAAUAAUUUGUAACGAAAAAGCAUGCAAUUUCGACCAUAGUAAACGUACCAAACGCUAAAUAUUUAGUCAUGACAACUUAUGAAUUGUUCUUUGAAGGAGACACAUUCAAUCUCGAAAAACCAUAUAUUAAACAUGUUACUUCGAUUUGUUGGUAUAAAAUGAAUGGCAAAAUAAAUCUACGCAACAACACGCACAUAUAAGUGAUAUAUUUUCUUGCUGUGUAAAACCCAUUGGUGGCCUUCGGUUGUGUUUUGCUUUUUGGUCGGUUUGUUGUCUCUCUGAAUCAUUCCAUUCAUAUGUUAAAAGUAGUUUCAUGAGCACCUUGUUUAAAGUCUAAGGAUAUUUCAAAUUUAAAAAAUAAUUAAUAAGUACUCUAUGUUAAUCUUCAGAAAUGUAAUAUACCC
rnacentral:lncRNA from 1 species